UACGUAGGGUGCAAGCGUUGUCCGGAAUUAUUGGGCGUAAAGAGCUCGUAGGCGGUUUGUCGCGUCUGCUGUGAAAUCCCGAGGCUCGACCUCGGGCUUGCAGUGGGUACGGGCAGACUAGAGUGCGGUAGGGGAGAUUGGAAUUCCUGGUGUAGCGGUGGAAUGCGCAGAUAUCAGGAGGAACACCGAUGGCGAAGGCAGAUCUCUGGGCCGUAACUGACGCUGAGGAGCGAAAGCGUGGGGAGCGAACAGG
rnacentral:rRNA from 1 species